UAAUACGGAGGGUGCGAGCGUUGUCCGGAAUCAUUGGGCGUAAAGGGCGCGUAGGUGGCCUGGCAAGCGUGCGGUGAAAGCUCGGGGCUCAACCCCGAGUCGGCCGUGCGAACUGCUGGGCUCGAGCACUGUAGAGGCAGGCGGAAUUCCGGGUGUAGCGGUGGAAUGCGUAGAGAUCCGGAAGAACACCGGUGGCGAAGGCGGCCUGCUGGGCAGUGGCUGACACUGAGGCGCGACAGCGUGGGGAGCAAACAGGAUUAGAUACCCUGGUAGUCCACGCCGUAAACGAUGGGCACUAGGCGCUUGGGGGAGCGACCCUCCGAGGGCCGGCGCUAACGCAUUAAGUGCCCCGCCUGGGGAGUACGGCCGCAAGGCUG
rnacentral:rRNA from 1 species